rnacentral:lncRNA from 1 species
CUGGACACCUGACAUUCCCCAUCCAGGGCAGAGGGCCGUGGGCCUCUCUGGUCCUUGGUACCAGUCACAGAGCCUGUGCAGGCUCGGUGGGUCAUCAGCCUGGCACCGGGCCACGUCGCGGGGAGCUGCCUGCCCAUUCACAAGCCGAUGGCAGUUGCACUGGAAGUCAACAGGGAAAUGGAAAGAGACAGACCCAGCCUCUGUGGAGGCGCCUGCCCUGGGACCUGUGCCCGUGUGCACAUGGCUUUCCGGGUGAGGAUUUCCCCUCGUGGAAUGGGAAUAGCAGCUGAGGCCGAGGAGAGAUAGAGAACUGCCUGUGCUUUCCAAAGGGCUUCCUUCCACAGUGUCUCAUUGACUCAAGCUUCAUAACAACCGGUGGUGAGUGUGUAUGUGCGUGCAUCUGUGUGUGUGUGUAUUCAUGCACGUAUACACACACACACACACACACACACUUUCUCUCAUUUACAGAUGAGAAAAAUACAGCCACAAAAGAUGAAGGACUUUGUCUAAGGCCUUCCAGCUAUUAAGAAACAGAAGGUGGGUGGGGAAGAGGGUUGGGAAUGAGCACAUCCCUGGAAAACCCUGCAGGUCUGUAAGGUCAGGGGUUAGGCAUUGAGGGGGUUCAUUGGAGCAAAACGAGUCAUUACAGUUUCCGAGAAGUCUACUGAUCAAGUCAGGCCCUGAUGCACAAUGGCGGGGAGCAAUGGCUCCUGGCGGUGGCUGCUGGCAUGAUUUGUUCUGUAUCUGUCUGUAGCCUCCUCUCCUGGCAUUCACUCUUGCCCCAACCAAAUGCUACACUCCAGCCACACGUGUUAGCCUUAGCCAGCCUGCCCCAUUACCCUUUCAGGCUUUUGUCCUAUUAAACAUGCUUUUUUUUUUUCUUUUUUCUUUUUUUUUUCUGUCUAGUGAGCAGGGGAUGGGGAGAAAAGGAAGGACACCUCUUUCUGUAAUUACAUGCUCCAAAAGUGUCACCUUCUCAUUAAGGUUAAAGGAAUACAUUGCGCGACCGUAAAACCACGCUGGAAAAAGUGUGAAUGCGUGGCCUUGAGACGAUAGGGAAGGUGGUCAAAGGUGACACCACUUUAACAUGCAACUUCCUCAACAACCAGGAAUGCUGCCGGGGUCCCAGCCCACCAGGCUAGGUAGCCCUUGGUGCUAGCACCCAGCCGUGUCUCCGACUUGCUGGCAUACCAGAGGGCCCGAGACAUCUUUGGGGAAGGACUUUGAGAAGGAGAGGCGUAAGGCUACAGAGAGAAGUCAGUCCCUCUCCCCGCCACUGGUACUUCGCCUUAGGAAUACAGUAGGCUGUCACUUGGGUCAAAAGCAUAACCGUGGCGAGGAGCAGGGAGAGAAGGAGGAUGGUUACGAAGAGGAGGAAGAGGAGGAGGGGAAGCGGGAAACAGGAGGGGGAGCAGAGGAGGUGGGGUGGGAGGGAUGCAUGGUGGGAAUUUAACGGCCUCUAAUAACAAUCCCUAGAUCUCUUGCAGCUGCUGGAGAAGUCUAGCUUGCCAUUGGGACUAAGGAGGGAGGCCUUGUAAUCUCCACACCCACACCCAGGGAAACUUGGGUAGCAGCUGGGCUGCUUGGGUCGAGCUUCCCCUCCAAGCCCUGCUAGUUUAGGGUCGGACUCUGAGAAGACUGGUUCCCUGGGUCAGGUCCACUGUCUCCAGAGCCAAUGGGGCACGGGUACAGGUGGGCAGCCUGGCCUGGAAGCCACAGGACUGUGACUCAGAGAAGAGGCUUUUGCUAGAAGACUCCUGAGCCAAAGCGGUACGGUGGUGCAGCAUUGGGCAACACGAAUAAAUACUUAAUUUAAAAAAGUGCUGGGGGUGCGUCUGGGUGGCUCAGUCAGUUAAGCAUCCGGCUUCGGCUCAGGUCAUGGUCGUGUGGUUUGCGGGUUUGAGCCCCAGCUCAGAGCCUGGAGCCUGCUUUAGAUUCUGUGUCUCCCUCUCUCUCUGCCCCUCCCCUGCUCACGCUCUCUCAAAAAUAAAUAAAAGUUAAAAAAAAAUUUUUUUUAAAAGUGCUGGGGGCACCUGGGUGACUCAGUCGGUUAAGCUGCACGACUUGAUUUUGGCUCAGGUCAUGAUCUCCUGAUGUGCGAGAUGGAGACCCGCAUUGGGCUCCAUCCUGAGCGUGAAGCUUGCUUGAGAUUCUCUCUCUCUCUCUCUCUCUCUCAAAAUGAAUACACAAAAAACCUUUUUAAAAGUGCAUAGUUUGAGGAGAGGUUCUGUACAGACUUCGAGGUGAAAGACCCCCAAGCUGUAAGGAUAAAGGAGAGCAUCCCCGUGGAGAAGCAACUUUGUGCCAGACACAGUGUGGGGUGCUGGAGAUAGGGAAUUAUUAUCGGAGCUCCCACGGAUCGCAUGCCCACCACGUGCCAGGGCUUUCACUCCAUUUAGUACCUCCCGCCACCUCCCUGCGGGAGGCCUGAGUACUCGCACCGCACCGUCAGGGAGGCCCAGACAUUCAGUUACUGAACACAGAGCAGCCCGGGCCUUCAAGCCCUCCUUGCUCUACAGCUGCGUCAGAGGAGGCCGAGGAGGGUAAGUGACUUGUCACAAUUGAAGGCACCUGGCACACACAGCUGAGCCCAUUUGCAGGAUUUCCAGUCCAUCGCCAACUGCCAGGGCCAUUUUCUCAACUGGUGGCAGCUUCCUGUGUUUUUCCAGUGCCGGGUCACGGCUGGCCCUCCCAGGAGGCUCUCGGGGCCCCGGGCUGUGGCUUUGCUCAGUUGUGUCUCCCGGGCAGUAGUGACAGUGCACCCGUGUGCUGAUGCAGCCCACGUGCCCACAGAGAUGACAGGAAGGGAGCAGCCAGGAGGGAGAGAGGAAGGAAGGGCCUGGAGGAGCCCGGUGGCGGGUGGGGCCUGGAGGGAGAGGGAAGGCUCAGGGGACUGGCUUCCUUGUAAACAGUGCAGCCUGUUCUAAAAAUACCCCUGCCCUAGACAGGGCACGCUGAGUUCCUCAGGUCUCUUCCAGAGGCUUCCCGGGGACCUCGGGCCCUGUCCUGAAAGGCCAAGAGGAUGGGAAGAAAGUUGACUUGUGAAGAGUAGGAUUUCCUUAGCAAGGAAAGUAUACCAGUAUUUCCUUCCUCGGCAAAACAGGAGGAGGACGCUCUGUGGGUUUUAGCAGCAGCGAAAACAACAAUGAAAAGCAAAAAGCUGCUCCCCUGGGCCCUUGUGCCCUGUUGAGUAGUCCGAGGCCUGGGCCUAGCUCCGGUUCACAGUCUGGACCUGCGAUCAGAGACUGGGAGCAGGCCCCGGGGCUGGUAUCUCCAGCUGUUCCCUUUAUCAGGCGUGGGAUCUAUGACUCAACCACCUGAUGCCUUAGUCUCUACAGUUAUAAGAGGGAAUCACGACAGUAGUGACUUUGAUCAGGUGUGAAGGGGAUUAAAUGAAAUGCUAUUUCAUAAGGUUCUUAGCACAGUGCCCCGUACAUGAUAAACGCUCAAAAAAAAAAUGCUUAUUGUUAUAGUAUAUGGGAGGAUAUAACUAUUUCCUGAAUUCCAAAUUAAGACCUCGUUUAAGAGGAAAUGUAGUAGGCAAAGAGAGUGGUGGGGGUGAGAUGAGUCAGAAAGAGUCUAAAUCCUAGAAAUCUCAAAUCAGCCAUUUGACAGAUAGGAAAACUGAGGCCCAGGGAGAAAACGGGAGUAGCCGCAGGCCAGACACAGUAUUACCAGCUGCCUGUGGGUUGAAUAUAACAUAACCACGUAACGAGAACACCAAAAUCCUGGGUGAUUCUAAGCCUGCCCCACUAGGAGUCAGGAGAAUAAGGCCUUUUAUUUAUACAGCACUUUGAAGUUUGGAAAACCCUUUAAAAGGGGAGACAGACCUCAGCAGACCACUGCCAGAGGGCUGAGCUCUAUGAAGGGGGGGACUUAAUGCACACGUACAAGCAUGUAGCCAAACAGAACUCAUCCUUGGGGUGGUGACAAAGUUACACAUCUAUAGACCAAGCCCUUGAUUCUGAGGACCAUGGAGAAGGGGCACAGGAAGGCAGGGUUUGGCUCAGCCUAAAGAAGAAUCUUCUAAUGCUGUGCCACCCGACGUGUUAGACCCUAGCCAAACAUGGCCAUUGAGCACAUGAAAUGUGGCUAAUCUGGAUUUCAAAGACUUAAUUUAAAAAGCAAAAGAAAAAGUAAAAUAUACCAUUAAUCACUGUUUUACUGACUCCAUGUUGAAAUGAUAGUUUCAUGAGGUCCAUUGAGUUAAUUAAUAUAGGUUAUUAAAAUGAGUUUUUCCUGCUCUUUUUUUACUUUCCCCCAUGGCCUCUGGGAAACCUAGACUCACGCAUGUAGCUUGCAGCCUUUCUGCUGGGCAGUGCUGUUGUAACCACUGAGUUUGUGCAAGAAUGGAGCAAGCUGUCUUAGCAGGUAAUAAGUCUCUCAUCACUGGAGAUGUUAAUAAAAGGUGUUGUUAAUGCACUCGUUAGAGUAAGGUGGAUAAACCCUAUAAUCCCUCCAGUUCUGACUCAGCUGCGAUUCUCACACAAUGCUCUGAGGAACACUUGUUCUGAGGAAUAUGAAUAGAGGUUUCAUGGGAAAAAAGAUGGGUGAUCAAUUUAAUGUGGGAAAUUCUUGGUUGGAAAAAAAGGUGAGUUCCUUUAUGCUAAGAUUUCUCGGAACCUUCUAAAAACUUUCUUAGCGUUUUAUUUUAUUGACAGACGGAGAGACAGAGUGCGAGCAAGGGAGGGGCAAGAGAGAGAGGGAGACAUAGAAUCCGAGGCAGGCUCCAGGUUCUGAUCUGUCAGCCCAGAGCCUGGUGCAGGGCUCGAACCCACAAAGGAGAGAUCAUGAUCUGAGCCGAAGUCAGACACUCAACUGACUGAGCCACCCAGGCACUCCCCACUUUUUUUUUUUUAAGGUUUUAUUUCAGAACCUUCUAGACACAAAAGUACACCGUGGGUCUUCAUGAUAGGGACAUUAUAUAUGACAUUCCCUAUAUUAAAUUGGUCACAGAGCCUUCUUUUAACAGGGCAUGACCAGGAAAUAAUUUAUUAUUAAGUUCAUUCUUUGAGAAUCAAUGUCCUCAAAUUCUCAAAAGAAUAUGGAUUCCGUUGUCAGACAUCAUGGAGUUCAAAUUCUGCCUCACGUCCCAAGUGACCUUGGACGUGUUAUUUCACCUUUAUCAGCUGUGAAAUGAGAGGGUGUAUAUUCCCCCCUCCGUAUGGCUUUGAAGCUUACACUGUAAAACUUAGAGAAAACAUAGUGCCUGAUGCAGAGCAGGUAUUCAACAAAAGGUAGCUCUAAUUGACGACAGCCUGCCUGGCCAGGAGGGAGAGUGGCUUCCCCAAGUGCUGCUAGCUCUUGAAUUUCCCUGUGUGUGUCCUAGCAGCUGACCUCACUUCUCUUCCCUAAACAGCAGCGAAUGAGAAAUUCCGUUCAUGGUGGGGGGGUGGGGAGGGGGUGGUGCAUAGGAAGCGUCCUCAAAUCUGGUGUGAUUUUAUAGGUCAAGACGGUUUCCAACGGGAGACAACUAUUUCCUUCUCUCCGGUCACACCUCAUCCCCCCUCUGUCAGUCCUGGCCAAAGGAAGCUACAGCCAGGCCUGGCAGGCUCCCCCUCUGCUCCCCUCCACUGCUCAGUUCCUGUUCCUGCAGGCCUUGGAGCCCCCAGCAGAUGGACUGCCCUUAUCAGCAGGCUCCAGGCCAGAGGAGGAAUCCUCCGGUCACAUGCAGCUCUCUGGAGGGAGAGAGGCCUUGUAAAUAAACACAGCCUAUGCAGAGGAAAGGGGAGGCGGGGAGGUUGAGGGAAAAGAAUCCUUGAAAUUUUGGUGACUGGGCCAGGAUUAAAGGCCACCACGCAUAACCCUCAUUGGCCAUUUCUGUGAGGAAUCGACAAACCAUGCACCGUCCCCGGAAAGAAAUGCGUGCAGGCCUUUAAAUAGCCCUUGGAGCUGGGGUGUUCCCACUAUGCUGCUGGCUUGAUUCAGGCCUAAUCCUCGCCCAGGACUGACUCUUCACAGUUUACAGAGCACUUUAUCCCUGGGCUCUGUGGAGUCGCACAGAGCUCUCCCCAGAGCAGGGAGGUGUAUCAUCAUCCCAAUUUACAAAUGAGGAAACUGAGGCUCGGAUUAUGA